AGGCCUGCCCACCUCCUCCCGAAGCUCUGCCAGGAGGCUGAGCAGUUCUUCUACCUGGGCGCACCUACCACAGGUGGACUCACAGGAUGGGAUGUCAGGAAGAAUUUCUUCAUGCAAAGGGUGGAACCGGCUGCCCAGGGCACUGCUGGAGUCCCAGGCCUGGAGCUAUUAAAGAAAUGCGUGGACUUGGCGCUAAGGGCCGUGGUUUUGUGGUGGGCCUGGUGGUGUUAGCUGACGCUUGGACUUGAGCUGAAGGCCCUUUUCCAAGCGCAAGGGUUCUGUGACUCUUUCACUGGUUGAGUAGGCGCCAUGCAGUCACCGGGCCCAGGGAAAAGACGUCCUUGGUGGCCUCCAAGUUAGCUCAGCGUCAUGGCACCGAGUCACUGUGAAGGAGCUGCUGGAAUAACGAGACAACAACCUAGUUCUAUUCAAAUAUAUAUUGCUCUUUUGAGGACUGCUGCGGGGCUAGCAGCACCACAGCAGUGGAAAUCUCCGUCCUGACAUUGCCUUAUGCCUUGACGUCAGGAUCAGGGUGGUUUGAACUGCCAGGGAAUGGACCAUGGGUUCUGGGUCUUUAUAUGAAGGCUGGAGGACUGCAAAAGAAAGAAGAGCAGAGAUGAAAACCCACUCCUUGCAGAGAUCCCCAGGCCAGGAGGAGCAGGAGGGACAAAGGAAUCCGUUGAAAGCUGCUGCUCAGCAAUGUCCCAAAUGCAGCCACCAGUCCUUCCCCACCUGCGCACCACAGGUCAAGUGGGGCACCUUCACAAGCUGGUUCCCUCACCACCUGCCUCCAUCCCUUGGGAGGAUUCACACACUCCAGGAAUCUCCUGGACUCUUUCCUCUCGCUAUUGUGCUUCCCCAUGAGAGCAAGGGCUAGCAAUCGUGACCCUGCUCCUAGCUGCUUGUAGGCUGUCUCAUCUCCCUCUUCGUCCUGGUUGCGUGCUCUACAACAGGCUCCCACCUUCUGUCAGCCUUACUGCCCUUUCCCCUGACUCUUCCUCAGGGACACUCAACCCUUUCAGCGGCACUGCCCAGCUCCAGGCUGGGAGGCCAUUCCCUGACACCACAGGCUACCCCGUCUCCUCUCCCUCGUUCCUAUGGCUGCAUUGCUCCUCCGCCCCGAAGCAUUUCCCUGGAGCAGGGCAAGGCACGGGGGCCUCUGCCGCUGUCCCCCCAGCCCUAGCACACCCCCCACUGCCCUCACUCACCUCUGAGGAUUUCAUUCAGCUUCUCCUCGCUCUGGUCCUUGCAUUAGUGCGCAGCAACGCCCUAGAUUCGCCAAAGAUUUUAAACUCAACUUCUUUGUGAUUGCUAUGACCAAAAUAGCUAGCAAUCACCACUUCCCAUGUGGCUGCCCCCUCUGAGGUUUUUUUUUUUUUUUUUGUAUAUAUGAAGAAAGGUUUGGGCUAAUUUCAGUUGAAAUAUUUUCAGUUGCUUGCUUGGCCAUAUUGUCCUUUCAAUGUUGAAAUCUGAAGCAAAACCACGGGAAUUGUUGCUUCUAGGAGUAGCCCAGUUCUCUUGUCUGCACUCUGCAUUCUAUUGAUCUAAACCAUAUUUAAAACCAAACCAAACUAAACAAACAAACAAACAAACAAACAAAAAACAUCUGCUGCUCUUCCUGCUCUCUUUGUCUCUUUCUCCCUUCUUUUGCUUUGCCCUUCCCCUUUCCCAGGUGACUGGAGUGGAGUGCUAGGCAGGGUCUAAUGGUAUACGAGUCCCAGGCAUCCCAUCAGAGCUCCUUAUGCCUGAGCUGCUCUUUAGG
rnacentral:lncRNA from 1 species